rnacentral:rRNA from 1 species
GACGAACGCUGGCGGCGUGCUUAACACGUGCAAGUCGAACGGAAAGGCCCUGCUUUUGUGGGGUGCUCGAGUGGCGAACGGGUGAGUAACACGUGAGUAACCUGCCCUUGACUUUGGGAUAACUUCAGGAAACUGGGGCUAAUACCGGAUAGGAGCUCCUGCUGCACGGUGGGGGUUGGAAAGUUUCGGCGGUUGGGGAUGGACUCGCGGCUUAUCAGCUUGUUGGUGGGGUAGUGGCUUACCAAGGCUUUGACGGGUAGCCGGCCUGAGAGGGUGACCGGGCACAUUGGGACUGAGGUACGGCCCAGACGCCUACGGGAGGCAGCGGUGGAGAAUAUUGCACAAUGGGCGGAAGCCUGAUGCAGCGACGCCGCGUGCGGGAUAACGGCCUUCGGGUUGUAAACCGCUUUCGCCUGUGACGAAGCGUGAGUGACGGUAAUGGGUAAAGAAGCACCGGCUAACUACGUG